rnacentral:rRNA from 1 species
UUACCGGCUAAAUGAAAGAAAUCCAGCAAUGCCAAGGUGCUGCAUGGCCGUCGUCAGUUCGUGCCGUGAGGUGUUGGGUUAAGUCCCGCAACGAACGCAACCCUAUUACUGUUGCCAGCAUUUGGGACUCAGUAAGACUGCCUACGCAAUAGGAGGAAGGAGGGGACGACGUCAGGUCAUCAUGGCCCUUACGCCGGGCGACACACGUGCUACAAUGGGAUACACGUGGCACGGCAACGCAUGCAAUCACUAAAUCUUCACAGUUCGGAUUGGGGUCUGCAACUCGACCCUAUGAAGCUGGAAUCGCUAGUAAUCGCAAUCAGCAUGUGCGGUGAAUACGUUCCCGGACCUUGUACACACCGCCCGUCAAGCCAUGGAAGUUGGUAACCGAA